AAUUAAAUUCUUAUCAAAAACAAGAAUAAUGAGCUUUUUCUUUAUUUAAGGUUAAAAGAUUUCGCAAGUGAUUCUUCGGGAAAAAUUGAACUUGAUUUUUGUCUUACAAAAAUUCGUAUUUAAACCAAAAAAGGUUAAUUUGUUUAGCAAAAUAAUGGUGUAAAAAUUAAAGAAAAAUAUGGAACUCGGCAAACUAGCUCCGAACCUUAGGAAGAAGGAGUGGCAAUUUUAACAAAUAAAUUGCUGUAAAAAAAGGAAAUCCACAACUGUUUAUUAAAAACACAUGAUCAUGCCAAUUUUUAAAAGAAAGUAUAUGAUCUGACUUGUGCUAAAUGCUUGAAAAUUGAAAAAAAAAUUGUUUUGCUUUUUUAUAAAAACGAGCUAAUAGCAGUCUUAUUCCUGAGGAUUGUAAUGUAGCGAAAUUCCUUGUCCACUAAAUAUGGUCCCGCAUGAAUCAAGUAAUGAUGGAUUUGCUGUCAUGUUUUUCUGUUUUGUGAAUUUGAAGUAGGAGUGCAGAUUCUCUUUUCCAAAAUUAAGACGAAAAGACCCUAUAAAACUUUACUAAAAACAAUUAUUGCUAAAAUUCAACAUUCUGUUCAGAGUAAACAAGAGCUUAUGAAAUUUUUUAUUUAAAAAGUUGAAGCGGCGCUGAGAAAUUGUUCUUUAUUGGAUUAAAGCUAAUUUUUUAAAAAGACAGUGAUUGUUCGUUAGUUUCUUUGGGGCGAAGUUCUUUUAAAAGGUAACAAAGAAGUGCAAAGGCAAAUUAAUUUGAAAAAUUUCAUUUUAAAACGAAAAAGUAUAUAUUUGCUUAACUGUAAGGUUGAUAUACCAAGCAGAAAUUAACGUUGGCUUUAUUGAACCAACUUUUUUGAUUAAAAAAGAAGUUGUUCAUCAGAUAAAAGUUACUUUAGGGAUAACAGAAUUAUAAAAAUCAAGCGAUCAGAGCGAAAUUUUUGUUUGUGACCUCGAUGUCGAUUUGUGGUAUCCUCGAGGCGAAGAAGUUUCGAAGGGUUUAACUGUUCGUUAAAUAAAACCGCACAUGAAUUGGGUUUAAAACGACGUAAGUCAGUUUUGUUUCUAUCUAAUUUUGGAUUAAAACUGAGGGGGUUCUUGUUUAGUAUGAGAAGAAUAAUAAGAAGAAGCAAAUUGUGAUUGGUUAUUUUCUAAAAAUACUCAACUAGCAACGCUUUAUAAAAUAAAAAAUGAAAGCAUCUA
rnacentral:rRNA from 13 species